rnacentral:pre_miRNA from 1 species
CGAGCCCGCCAGUUUGGCAGUGCGCGCCUACAGCUGACCCGGUAUGACCUCACGGGCCACUGUACACACUCCCAGCCGGGCGGGCCAA